UCCCCAUGGUGUCAAGACCAAGAGCCAUCAGGCCUGAAUUCCAUGAGCAAUUACUGAGCUGCAGACGGAGGGGACAGACACUGCUCCAGAGCAUGAGGAAGAAUCCCCGGUGGCAGCACUCGGAUAAAAGAGAGAAUUCUUUGGCAGAAGAUCUGUGCUAGAAGUGUUAAAAGAAGUUCUUCAGGCAAAAGAUUUGGAACUAUAUGAAAAACUGGAAUUAGACAAGGGAGCACCCAGAAGAAGCAAAUCCUAUCGUGGCAAAUUUAAUACAAAAACAAGUAACUAUAGAGCCU